rnacentral:tRNA from 1 species
GUUAAUAUAGUUUAAGGAGAACAUAGUAUUGAAGAUACUAAGGUAUACAAUUUUUUAACA